GGCUUUAUAGUAUAAAAAAUAACAUUGGAUUGCAAAUCUAAAGAUGUGUAGGAGACACUAAGGCUU
rnacentral:tRNA from 1 species